rnacentral:rRNA from 1 species
GAUGAACGCUGGCGGCAUGCCUAAGACAUGCAAGUCGAACGAGAUGGCCCAAUGAAGAAUGCGUGCUUGCACAAUUUCGGAUUUGGAUUACCGUCUAGUGGCGCAAGGGUGAGUAAUACGUGGGUAAUCUACCUUCGAGUUUGGAAUAACAAUUAGAAAUGAUUGCUAAUGCCGAAUUAUAUAUUUUAUGAUACGUCAUUUAAUAUUAAAAGGAGCCUUUAAAGCUUCGCUUGAAGAUGAGCCCACGCCGUAUUAGCUAGUUGGUGGGGUAAUGGCCUACCAAGGCAACGAUGCGUAGCCGACCUGAGAGGGUGAUCGGCCACACUGGGACUGAGACACGGCCCAGACUCCUACGGGAGACAGCAGUUAGGAAUAUUCGUCAAUGGGGGAAACCCUGAACGAGCAAUGCCGCGUGAAGGAUGACGGUCCUAUGGAUUGUAAACUUCUGUUGUUAGGGAAGAACGGCCUAUGUAGGAAAUGACAUAGGAGUGACGGUACCUUUCAAGAAAGCUCCGGCUAACUACGUGCCAGCAGCCGCGGUAAUACGUAGGGAGCAAGCGUUAUCCGGAUUUAUUGGGUGUAAAGGGUGCGUAGGCGGUUUAAUAGGUCUGUGGUCUAAGUCCGAAGCUUAACUUCGGUUCGCCAUAGAAACCGUUAAACUUGAGUAUGGUAGAGGCAAGUGGAAUUUCUAGUGUAGCGGUAAAAUGCGUAGAUAUUAGAAGGAACACCAGUGGCGAAGGCGACUUGCUGGGCCAUUACUGACGCUGAGGCACGAAAGCGUGGGGAGCAAAUAGGAUUAGAUACCCUAGUAGUCCACGCCGUAAACGAUGAAUACUAAGUGUCGGAAUUAUUCGGUGCUGAAGUUAACACAUUAAGUAUUCCACCUGAGUAGUACGGUCGCAAGGCUGAAACUCAAAGGAAUUGACGGGCACCCGCACAAGCGGUGGAGCAUGCUGUUUAAUUCGAAGAUACGCGAAGAACCUUACCUGGGCUUGACAUCCCACUGACCGUCUUAGAAAUAAGAUUUUCUCUUCGGAGACAGUGGUGACAGGUGGUGCAUGGUUGUCGUCAGCUCGUGUCGUGAGAUGUUCGGUUAAGUCCGAUAACGAGCGCAACCCUUGUCCUUAAUUGCUAACAUUUAGUUGAGAACCUUAAGGAGACUGCCGAUGAUAAAUCGGAGGAAGAUGGGGAUGACGUCAAAUCAUCAUGCCCCUUACGUCCAGGGCUACAGGCGUGCUACAAUGGCAGGUAUAAUAAGACGCAAUACCGUGAGGUGGAGCAAAUCUCUAAAGCCUGUCCCAGUCCGGAUUGGAGUCUGCAACUCGACUCCAUGAAGUUGGAAUCGCUAGUAAUCCCGAAUCAGAAUGUCGGGGUGAAUACGUUCCCGGGUGUUGUACACACCGCCCGUCACGCCAUGGGAGUCGGUAAUACCCGAAGUUGGUAGCCUAACCUGUUUACAGGAGGGGGCCAUCGAAGGUAGGAUUGGCGACUGGGGUGAAGUCGUAACAAGGUAUCCCUACGGGAACGUGGGGAUGGAUCACCUCCUUUCUAAGGAGUAUAUUAUUCCUAUAUCUUAGUGCUUAUUUUCGUUUUGCUUGGUUUUGAGAGAUUGUUUUCUCUCAGCAAGGGAUAUUCCCUUGAAAUAGUUCUUUGAAAACUAGAUAUUGCAAGUUAUGUUGAUUAUUCAAUAUAACGAUUACUAUAUUUAUUAAGUGUAUAGUAAUAAUCUCAUCAAAUUAGGAUAUUUAAUAUCAAUUAAAUGGUGGUUAAAUUAGUAAGGGCGCAUGGUGGAUGCCUUGGCACUAGAAGCUGAUGAAGGACGUGACGAACAACGAUAUGCUUUGGGGAGCUGUAAGUACGCUUUGAUCCAGAGAUUUCCGAAUGGGGGAACCCAGCAGUAGUAACUUACUGUUAUUCUAUUGUGAAUACAUAGCAAUAGUAAGAGCAACCCGGUGAACUGAAACAUCUUAGUAGCCGGAGGAAAAGAAAGAAAAAUCGAUUUCCUUAGUAGUGGCGAGCGAAAAGGAAUUAGCCCAAACCAAGUCUUCGGACUUGGGGUUGUAGGACCAAUAUAUGAGAGUUACAAAGUUAUUUCAUAGUUGAAUUAGAUGGAAAGCUAAACAAUAUAAGGUGAAAGUCCUGUAAACGAAAUGAAAUAACCUCUCUUUGGUAUCCUGAGUACGGCGAUACACGUGGAAUUUCGUCGGAAUCAGCGGGGACCAUCCCGUAAGGCUAAAUACUCUCUAGUGACCGAUAGUGAACA